rnacentral:rRNA from 1 species
UCGCUACUACCGAUUGGAUGGUCCGGUGAAGCCUCGGGAUUGCGGCUGGUGCCUUUACUGGUGUCGGUUGCAAGAACUUGUCUAAACCUUAUCAUUUAGAGGAAGGUG